rnacentral:rRNA from 1 species
AGUGAACGCUGGCGGCAGGCCUAAUACAUGCAAGUCGAACGGCAGCACAGUGGAGCUUGCUCCAUGGGUGGCGAGUGGCGGACGGGUGAGGAAUACAUGGGAAUCUGCCCAGUCGUGGGGGAUAACGUAGGGAAACUUACGCUAAUACCGCAUGCGCCCUUCGGGGGAAAGCCGGGGACCUUCGGGCCUGGCGCGAUUGGAUGAGCCCAUGUCGGAUUAGCUAGUUGGCGGGGUAACGGCCCACCAAGGCGACGAUCCGUAGCUGGUCUGAGAGGAUGAUCAGCCACACUGGAACUGAGACACGGUCCAGACUCCUACGGGAGGCAGCAGUAGGGAAUAUUGGACAAUGGGCGCAAGCCUGAUCCAGCCAUGCCGCGUGAGUGAAGAAGGCCCUCGGGUUGUAAAGCUCUUUUGUCCGGAAAGAAAAGCCUUGGGUUAAUACCCUGAGGUUCUGACGGUACCGGAAGAAUAAGCACCGGCUAACUUCGUGCCAGCCGCCGCCGUAAAAC